rnacentral:misc_RNA from 1 species
GGCAUAAACACUUAAGCUUAUAAAUGAUGGAGAGGGUUUUGCAAACUAGGGAAAAAAAAAGAAUAACUGUAAAAAAUAACCAGCAUUCUAAUUGUUAACAUCUUGCAGAAAAAUUUCAUCUAUGUUGAUACAAGACUGCUGAUAAAUUAAGUCAGGUAUCCAACAGGCGCCAAAGACUCAUGGAGAUGGCUGAACCUUUACACAAGCAUAAACAAAGCUGCAUUUUUUUCCAUUUGAAUCUAAUUGAGUGCAACUUUUGAUCAAAAUAAGUGAAAUCAAUCUAUGAAGUAUGGGGUGAUAUAAAGUUGCAAGUUAGAAAAGCUUUUGCUGCAUACAAUAUGGAAAGAAAGAAGGUUUAUCUGCUUAAACAUGCUAGCUUUAAGGCCAAAAAUAGGGGUGAAAUAAAAAGGACAAACUGAGUAAAGGCAUUGAAACUUAGGUGAGGAGAACAUACUUGCUCUAUUAAUCAUCUGCGUGGGAGUGAUUAUAUGGGGAACGGGUUCUAAUGCAGCC